rnacentral:pre_miRNA from 1 species
CAAGUAUUCCCUCCGUCCCAAAUUACUUGUCUUAGAUUUGUCUAGAUACGGAUGUAUGUAGACACAUUUUAGUGUUGAUACAUCCGUAUCUAGACAAAAUCUAAGACAAGUAAUUUGGGACAGAGAUUAUAUG